CGGCAACACCGGAAGUCCCCCAGUCCUCCUCCCCCCGCUUUUUUUUUUUCCGGACUGCGUUCCACCCGGUGGCAACGUUAUGGCUUGGCGCAUGCGCUAGGACCGGCUCGGUGCGUGGCAGUGCCUGUGAGCGGCGGGGGGGAGGAGCCAGCCUCCCUCUCUCUCCGCCCCCCUUCCCCCUCCCUCUAGCCGCUCUGGCUGCUGUAGCAGCUGCGUCUGGGGAGGAACGUCCCGCGUGGAAAUCCCCCUAGCCCCGGCUCCUCCCUCCCGCCCACCCCGGGAUGGAACAGCCUGGCAGCCGCUGCAAGAAGGUCAAGCUGAGCAACAGGGCGCAAAGCUGGCCCUAAAGCUAAAGAAUCAGUUUGUUGGAUGUAGUGGAACAUGUCAGGUCUGGAGAAGGAUGAAGCAAACAAGCUAAUGUUAAGAAACAGAAACUGAGGUAACUUUCCAUUUCUUAGGUCAGUGGUGCCAGAUCUCCUGAGGCUCCAGUAAGUCAUUUGUUGUUGCUCCAGUUUAAGGUAGCUCAGGCUGCCCAGUGAUAAUUGGUAAGCUGUAUGCUUGGUUGAAUUUGUGUUGCAACUGCUUCCUUGUUAUGCCAAAGUAAGAGUAAAUUCAUCAGCAGCUCCUUGAUAAAGUGCGUCUGUUCAGAGCUGUUCACGAGAUCCGUCCAGCCCCUCUUUAAAGAGAUAGAGAUCUUU
rnacentral:lncRNA from 1 species